AUAUUUUUAGCGUUUGUCUCGUGAGGUCAGAUUUAAUUUGCUGAUUCAAUUGUUGUUUCGUUGGCCAGAGAUUAUGUUAUUUUUCUAGGUUUUGGUAUCGCUUUUUUGUCAUUUUUAUGUUUUAUGGUUUUGCGUCCGUUUACAAAAUCACCAAAGGACAGUGAGCGGGUGAGCGGCGCGAAGCGGGACGAAUUGAACGAAAUUGAACGAACGAACCUGAACGAACGAACUUGAACGAACGAACCUGAACGAACGAACUUGAACGAACGAACCUGUACGAACGAACGAACUUAUACGAACGCGCUUAUACGAACGCCAACGAACGUUAAAUCGGCGGUGUCAAGUUCUUGCCGGUGGCUGCAGACCUGAAACAAUCCAAAACCGUUUUUAAAUACAAUGAGUAUUGGAUCCUGAGGCUCCACCGGUAAAA